ensembl:snRNA U4 U4 spliceosomal RNA
AGUUUUGCGCAGUGGCAGUAUUGUAGCCAAUGAGGUUUAUCUGAGGUGCGAUUAUUGCUAAUUGAAAAGAGGACUUCUAGAACUGCUUCAGAAAAUGGCAAGAACAAUGGGUUAAGUGUGUUCAAAGUGCAUUUGAAGAAGGGGAAGUAUUUU